AUUUAUAUAGUUUAUUUAAAACAUUACAUUUUCAUUGUAAAAAUAAAAUUAUAUUUUUAUAAAUU
rnacentral:tRNA from 1 species